rnacentral:rRNA from 1 species
UGCCAGCCGCCGCGGUAAGACGGAGGGGGCUAGCGUUGUUCAGAAUCACUGGGCGUAAAGCGUGCGUAGGCGGCGCAGCAAGUCAGACGUGAAAGCCCUCGGCUCAACCGAGGAAUUGCGUUUGAAACUGCUGUGCUUGAGUCUCGGAGAGGUUGGCGGAAUUCCAGGUGUAGGGGUGAAAUCCGUAGAUAUCUGGAGGAACACCGGUGGCGAAGGCGGCCAACUGGACGAGUACUGACGCUGAGGUACGAAAGCGUGGGGAGCAAACAGGAUUAGAUA